rnacentral:rRNA from 1 species
AGCGAACGCUGGCGGCAGGCCUAACACAUGCAAGUCGAACGAAGUCUUCGGACUUAGUGGCGGACGGGUGAGUAACACGUGGGAACGUGCCUUUAGGUUCGGAAUCACUCAGGGAAACUUGUGCUAAUACCGAAUGUGCCCUUCAGGGGAAAGAUUUAUCGCCUUUAGAGCGGCCCGCGUCUGAUUAGCUGGUUGGUGAGGUAAUGGCUCACCAAGGCUACGAUCAGUAGCUGGUCUGAGAGGAUGACCAGCCACAUUGGGACUGAGACACGGCCCAAACUCCUACGGGAGGCAGCAGUGGGGAAUCUUGCGCAAUGGGCGAAAGCCUGACGCAGCCAUGCCGCGUGGAUGAUGAAGGUCUUAGGAUUGUAAAAUCCUUUCACCGGUGAAGAUAAUGACUGUAGCCGGAGAAGAAGCCCCGGCUAACUUCGUGCCAGCCGCCGCAGUAAAAC